CUAUUAAUACCCCCUAACAACCCUAAACCACCAAAUAUUAAAUCAUUUUUCCCCCUGAGUAUGGGCGACAGAAAAGGAGAUAUCCGGAGCUAUAGAAAAAGUACCGCAAGGGAAUGCUGAAAAAGAAUUGAAAUAAACCAGUAAAGUUUAAAAAAGCAGAGAUUUACUCUCGUACCUUUUGCAUCAUGAUUUAGCUAGUAAAAACCAAGCAAAAAGCAUUUUAGUUUGAUUUCCCGAAACUAAGUGAGCUACUCCAAGACAGCCUAAAAACAGGGCAAACCCGUCUCUGUGGCAAAAGAGUGGGACGAGCUUAGAGUAGAGGUGACAGACCUACCGAACUUAGUUAUAGCUGGUUGUCUGAGAAAUGAAUAGAAGUUCAGCUUUUUGGUUUCUCCACUCCAACCUGCUUUAGCUUCAGCUGACUCAAAGAAAUCAAAAAAGUUAAUUAAAGGGGGUACAGCCCCUUUAAACCAAGAUACAACUUCCUUAGAAAGGUAAAGAUCAUAAUCAUUUAAGGCAAAAUGUUCUAGUGGGCCUAAAAGCAGCCACCUAUAAGAAAGCGUUAAAGCUCAGAGAUAUUACCAACCUACAAUUUAGAUAAACCAUCUAAGCCUACUAAUCUUACCAGACCGCCCCAUACCCACAUGGGGGUGAUUAUGCUAAUAUGAGUAAUAAGAAAGACCAGUCUUUCUCCUUGCACCUGUGUAAAUCGAAACGGACCGACCAUCGAACAUUAUCGGCCCCAAUAAAAAGAGGGAAAUGAAUCACAACCCUACCAACAAGAAGAACACCCAAAAAACAACCGUUAACCCCACACUGGUGUGCUUACAAGGAAAGAUUUAAAGGAAAAAAAGGAACUCGGCAAACCUAAGCCUCGCCUGUUUACCAAAAACAUCGCCUCUUGCAAGCAUAGUAUAAGAGGUCC
rnacentral:rRNA from 1 species